rnacentral:rRNA from 1 species
GACGAACGCUGGCGACGUGCCUAAUACAUGCAAGUUGAGCGCUGAAGGUUGGUACUUGUACCGACUGGAUGAGCAGCGAACGGGUGAGUAACGCGUGGGGAAUCUGCCUUUGAGCGGGGGACAACAUUUGGAAACGAAUGCUAAUACCGCAUAAAAACUUUAAACACAAGUUUUAAGUUUGAAAGAUGCAAUUGCAUCACUCAAAGAUGAUCCCGCGUUGUAUUAGCUAGUUGGUGAGGUAAAGGCUCACCAAGGCGAUGAUACAUAGCCGACCUGAGAGGGUGAUCGGCCACAUUGGGACUGAGACACGGCCCAAACUCCUACGGGAGGCAGCAGUAGGGAAUCUUCGGCAAUGGACGAAAGUCUGACCGAGCAACGCCGCGUGAGUGAAGAAGGUUUUCGGAUCGUAAAACUCUGUUGGUAGAGAAGAACGUUGGUGAGAGUGGAAAGCUCAUCAAGUGACGGUAACUACCCAGAAAGGGACGGCUAACUACGUG